rnacentral:rRNA from 1 species
GACGAACGCUGGCGGCGUGCUUAACACAUGCAAGUCGAACGGAAAGGCCCUGCUUGCAGGGUACUCGAGUGGCGAACGGGUGAGUAACACGUGGGUGAUCUGCCCUGCACUUCGGGAUAAGCCUGGGAAACUGGGUCUAAUACCGGACAGGAGCCAUUUUUAGCGUGAUGGUUGGAAAGUUUUUUCGGUGUAGGAUGAGCUCGCGGCCUAUCAGCUUGUUGGUGGGGUAAUGGCCUACCAAGGCGGCGGCGGGUAGCCGGCCUGCGGGGGUGGACGGCCACAUUGGGACUGAGGUGCGGCCCAGACUCCGACGGGAGGGAGCAGGGGGGAAGAUUGCACAAGGGGCGCAAGCCGGAUGCAGCGACGCCGCGGGGGGGAUGACGGCCUUCGGGUUGUAAACUCCUUUCGCUAGGGACGAAGCUUUUUGUGACGGUACCUAGAUAAGAAGCACCGGCUAACUACGUG